rnacentral:misc_RNA from 1 species
GUCAAGGUCAGCUGAAGUUUGACCUUGACCUUUGUUGUAUAGAUUUGCUUGAGAAUUGUUAACUAUAUACUGUUGAAAAUAAGAUAUACUUUUUAUUAAACAAAUAUUUCUAUUUUAUUGUGAUCAACCAAAGUUGGAAUUUCCUCUGUUGCUAUCAGUUUCUUUUAUAUUGCAAAAGAUUAUGAAAAAACUGGAAGAAUUACAAAAGUUAUUACAUCAGUUUGUAAGGCUCAGUAUUUGAAGACAAAUUAUUAAAACUUGGCAUUGCACAGAACUGUUUUGACAUAUUGUAAAUGAGGCAGCAGCAUUAUAAAUAAAGAAACAGAAACA